rnacentral:rRNA from 1 species
GAGGUCCCGCCUGCCCUGUGACUGUAAGUUUAACGGCCGCGGUAUCUUAACCGUGCAAAGGUAGCGCAAUCACUUGUCUCUUAAAUAGAGACCUGUAUGAAUGGCAUUACGAGGGCUUAACUGUCUCCUUUCCCAAGUUAAUGAAAUUGACCUCCCCGUGCAGAGGCGGGGAUUUACCCAUAAGACGAGAAGACCCUAUGGAGCUUCAGGCAUCAAGUCUGAUCAUGUAAUAAGCCCAAUAAAGGAUACAUAACUUUAUGACCCCAGUCUAACUGCCUUUGGUUGGGGCGACCGCGGGGAAACAAGAAUCCCCCAUGUGGAAAGGGGCCACUAAGCCCUACAAACAAGAGCUACAGCUCUAGUCAACAGAACUUCUGACCUUAUUGAUCCGGCCUAGGCCGAUCAACGAACCGAGUUACCCUAGGGAUAACAGCGCAAUCCCCUUACAGAGCCCAUAUCGACAAGGGGGUUUACGACCUCGAUGUUGGAUCAGGAUAUCCUAAUGGUGCAGCCGCU